rnacentral:rRNA from 1 species
GACGAACGCUGGCGGCGUGCUUAACACAUGCAAGUCGAACGGAAAGGCCCUUCUGGGGACUCUAGUGGCGAAGGGGUGAGGAACACGGGGGUGAUGUGGCCUGCACUGUGGGAUAAGCGUGGGAAACUGGGUCUAAUACCGAAGAGGACCACGCGCUUCAUGGUGUGUGGUGGAUAGCUUUCGCGGGGGGGGAAGGGCACGCGGCCUAUCAGCGUGUUGGUGGGGUAAUGGCCUACCAAGGCGACGACGGGUAGCCGGCCUGUGAGGGUGACCGGACACACCGGGCUCGUGCUACGGGCAGCACUGCUGAGGGAGGCAGAAGGGGGGAAUACUGCAUGCUGGGCGGCAGCCUGAUGCAGCGACGCCGCGUGGUGGAUAACGGCCUUCGCGUUGUAGGACGCUUUCAACCGGGACGAAGCGUAAGCGACGGUACCUAUAGAAGAAGCACCGGCCAACUACGUG